AACGAACGCUGGCGGCAUGCCUAAUACAUGCAAGUCGAACGAGAUCUUCGGAUCUAGUGGCGCACGGGUGCGUAACGCGUGGGAAUCUACCCUUGGGUUCGGAAUAACAGCUAGAAAUGACUGCUAAUACCGGAUGAUGACGUAAGUCCAAAGAUUUAUCGCCCAAGGAUGAGCCCGCGUAAGAUUAGCUAGUUGGUGAGGUAAAGGCUCACCAAGGCUACGAUCUUUAGCUGGUCUGAGAGGAUGAUCAGCCACACUGGGACUGAGACACGGCCCAGACUCCUACGGGAGGCAGCAGUAGGGAAUAUUGGACAAUGGGCGAAAGCCUGAUCCAGCAAUGCCGCGUGAGUAAUGAAGGCCUUAGGGUUGUAAAGCUCUUUUACCCGAGAUGAUAAUGACAGUAUCGGGAGAAUAAGCUCCGGCUAACUCCGUG
rnacentral:rRNA from 1 species